AACGCACAUUGCGCCCUCUGGUAUUCCGGGGGGCAUGCCUGUUCGAGCGUCAUUACACCUCUUAAGCAUAGCUUAGUAUUAGAACUCUUUACUCAAUGCAAGUUGGGUAGUUCUAAAAAUUAGUGGCAGAGUAGAAAUUGCUCUUAGUACAGUUAUAUUUUGAUCUUACUACAUGAGUCUUUCUCUUUCUUGCCAAAUACCGCAGCAAAAGAACGAAGUCAUUUGCGAUUUUGCUACAUCUUUUUAUGGUUGACCUCGGAUCAGGUAGGGAUACCCGCUGAACUUAA
rnacentral:misc_RNA from 3 species